GGGGAAUAUUGGACAAUGGGCGCAAGCCUGAUCCAGCCAUGCCGCGUGAGUGAUGAAGGCCCUAGGGUUGUAAAGCUCUUUCACCGGUGAAGAUAAUGACGGUAACCGGAGAAGAAGCCCCGGCUAACUUCGUGCCAGCAGCCGCGGUAAUACGAAGGGGGCUAGCGUUGUUCGGAUUUACUGGGCGUAAAGCGCACGUAGGCGGACUUUUAAGUCAGGGGUGAAAUCCCAGAGCUCAACUCUGGAACUGCCUUUGAUACUGGAAGUCUUGAGUAUGGUAGAGGUGAGUGGAAUUCCGAGUGUAGAGGUGAAAUUCGUAGAUAUUCGGAGGAACACCAGUGGCGAAGGCGGCUCACUGGACCAUUACUGACGCUGAGGUGCGAAAGCGUGGGGAGCAAAC
rnacentral:rRNA from 1 species